UAUGCCACUCCCAGAAGGAUGCAGCUGUUUCAAAACCUUUUAAAAACAAGGGGAAAACUACCUGGCAUCUGGAAAGGGCUUCCUGGGUCUGAGCUGGUGGGAGAGUGAGGGUAGGUGCUGCUGCUGCUCCCAGGAGAGUUUGGGACGGAACUGAGCUAAGAGGCUGUGCUGAGGAUUAUAUUCGCUGUGUCUUGGAACCAGCA
rnacentral:lncRNA from 1 species